UAGGUGGCAGGUGGGCAGCGUCAGGGCCAGGGGAGGUAGUGGCACCGCGGUAAAGCCCCAAAGCCCCGUGGGACGCUGGGAUCAGGAGGAGGGGUCACGAUCCGUCCCGCCCGCCCGCCUAACCGCUGCACCUCAGCAGGCCUGACAUGCACGCUCAGGGGGGGCGACCAACAAUACAGCAAGCCUGCACUGUAAUUAAAGCCUGGUCCAGACGUGAGACCGCGGCUGACACGGCAUGGGAUGGAGCAGAGACCCAGCAGACUGAUGUACAUAAAACGAGUGCAAAACGAACAGACAGAAACAGACGCGCAUGAGUAAUGGACGCCGCUGCAGACUCACCUAAUAAGUAUGAAUCUGUUUGGCUGCUGGUUUGAUCGUCAUCCGAAGCGAGUCCUGAGCUCAUCAGUGUCAUGGCCUUGAGCGAGAUACUUAACCUCCAGUUCCUCCAGAGGGACUGAACCUGUAAUAACUUCAUGGCUCUUCUGUGAAUGAUACCACCGUGGUUUCACUCUGGUCCAGCUGAGUGAAUUAACAUGGUCCCAGGCUGCAGAUUAUAUAGCACGUUAACCACUGAAAGAGAUGUGCACCGUUCAGGAAAAAAUCAAUCAAGAUUAGCUUCUCCACCUCUCAAUGGAGCACUGUGAACCUCCUCAGGGGGUAAAGCUCCAAUCCAAGAGCUGAGAGAGAGAGACAGAUACGGUAC
ensembl:lncRNA